rnacentral:rRNA from 1 species
AGUGAACGCUGGCGGUAGGCCUAACACAUGCAAGUCGAACGGCAGCACAGUAAGAGCUUGCUCUUACGGGUGGCGAGUGGCGGACGGGUGAGGAAUACAUCGGAAUCUACUUUUUCGUGGGGGAUAACGUAGGGAAACUUACGCUAAUACCGCAUACGACCUACGGGUGAAAGCAGGGGAUCUUCGGACCUUGCGCGAUUGAAUGAGCCGAUGUCGGAUUAGCUAGUUGGCGGGGUAAAGGCCCACCAAGGCGACGAUCCGUAGCUGGUCUGAGAGGAUGAUCAGCCACACGGGAACUUAGACACGGUCCAGACUCCUACAGGAGGCAGCCGUGGGGAAUAUUGGACAAUGGGCGCAAGCCUGAUCCAGCCAUACCGCGUGGGUGACGAAGGCCUUCGGGUUGUAAAGCCCUUUUGUUGUGAAAGAAAAGCAGCACGUUAAUACCCCGCUGUUCUGACGUUACCCAAAGAAUAAGCACCGGCUAACUUCGUG